CGAACUUUGAAAUUAAAAUGAGUUGUUCAAAACACACAAAAAAACAAAAAUGAGUUGUUUCACUUCACUAGAUCUCUCUUAUUCAUAAGUUUUUACGAACUACACCCAACCGGUUUCGUUUUUAAGGAAUUAAUUUGGGAUUUAUCUCAGCAAAUAGAUGAGAAAGAGAGAUUUAAAAAUGUUGUUAAGUUAAUUUAAAAAGAAAAAAAAAAUUGAAAACUUUUUCCGACCAAAGUAUAGUAAUGAGUUCCUCCAAGUUGGAACUCUUUUGUUUUUUCUUUUAACUUUUGAAAUCUAGUCGACCGUUGCCGUUGGUGGGAUUCAAAAUCUACUUACUUUUUGUUGUAGAUAUGACUUUUGUAGAUAACCUUCUUCUUAUUAUUUUUUUUUUUUUUGGAAAUUAUGUGUAACCAUUUUAAAAGAAGAACUUACUGUAAGAUAAAUAUAUAUAUAUGACUGGCCACAAAAAAUAAAAGAACAUAAAAAAGCUCUUUGGAAUUUCGGAAAUAUAUGCAGUAUCAUAAUAUAUAGAGCCAUAAUUAUGUUGAAGAAAAGAGUUGUGUUGUGGUAUUUAAGGAUUCAA
rnacentral:lncRNA from 1 species